GCUCCGCUGACGACCGGCGCACGGGUGCGUAACGCGUAUAGAACCUACCUUUUACAGAGGGAUAGCCUUUAGAAAUGAAGAUUAAUACCUUAUGGUAUUAAGGAUUCGCAUGAAUUCUUAAUUAAAGAUUUAUCGGUAAAAGAUGGCUAUGCGUCCUAUUAGCUAGAUGGUAAGGUAACGGCUUACCAUGGCGACGAUAGGUAGGGGUCCUGAGAGGGAGAUCCCCCACACUGGUACUGAGACACGGACCAGACUCCUACGGGAGGCAGCAGUGAGGAAUAUUGGGCAAUGGAGGCAACUCUGACCCAGCCAUGCCGCGUGCAGGAAGAAGGCCCUAUGGGUUGUAAACUGCUUUUAUACAGGAAGAAACACUCGUACGUGUACGAGCUUGACGGUACUGUAAGAAUAAGCACCGGCUAACUCCGUGCCAGCAGCCGCGGUAAUACGGAGGGUGCAAGCGUUAUCCGGAAUCAUUGGGUUUAAAGGGUCCGCAGGCGGUCAAUUAAGUCAGAGGUGAAAUCCCAUAGCUCAACUAUGGAACUGCCUUUGAUACUGGUUGACUUGAGUCAUAUGGAAGUAGAUAGAAUGUGUAGUGUAGCGGUGAAAUGCAUAGAUAUUACACAGAAUACCGAUUGCGAAGGCAGUCUACUACGUAUGUACUGACGCUGAGGGACGAAAGCGUGGGGAGCGAACAGGAUU
rnacentral:rRNA from 1 species